rnacentral:rRNA from 1 species
GCUGAAACCUUAGUGAUGUGAUUAGGCGACUCUAAACAAGGAUAAUCCUCGGGGUUCACCCCUCGAGCACUAGCCGCCCUCUGUGGUGGGCGACGUUACCAUUCUGCGGGAACGUUCGCGCCGGUCGAGAACCGGUCGGGGACUACCCGCAGCCACACUCGUGGCUCACAGGCUAAAUGGUAAUGGGCGUGGGUGCUGGGCACCCGCGCUUCAGAUAUAGUCGGUCCCCCAGACAUCUCUGGGGCGAGGAAACGUUCCGUAGGUGAACCUGCGGAAGGAUCAUUA